UUUUUUUUAGUUAAAAAAAAUAAUAAACAACGUUAUAUGUAGAUGAACUCCAGUGAAGUUGUUACAACUCUAAUUAUUGAAAGUCAGGUGUACGCUAGUCUCUCGUCUUUAGUGAAUGGAAAUUAGGAUAGAAUAGAAUGUUUUUUAUGUGUGUACCUUAUAUAGAAACUAUAAACUAGAACUUUGGUUCAGAUCUUUUCAAUUCUAUCAACAAAAACUUGAAUGAACCUCAACUUAGACACAUGAAUAUUUAAUUAGUUGUUAGUUUUCAACUAGCUUGCUUUCCACUUUGUCGUCACCCGAUUUGCCAAUGUUGGUCGUCCGUUUGGCU
rnacentral:lncRNA from 1 species